UCCUGACUGACCGAUAGUGAACCAGUACCGUGAGGGAAAGGCGAAAAGAACCCCGGCGAGGGGAGUGAAAAAGAACCUGAAACCGUGUACGUACAAGCAGUGGGAGCACGCUUAGGCGUGUGACUGCGUACCUUUUGUAUAAUGGGUCAGCGACUUAUAUUCUGUAGCAAGGUUAACCGAAUAGGGGAGCCGAAGGGAAACCGAGUCUUAACUGGGCGUUAAGUUGCAGGGUAUAGACCCGAAACCCGGUGAUCUAGCCAUGGGCAGGUUGAAGGUUGGGUAACACUAACUGGAGGACCGAACCGACUAAUGUUGAAAAAUUAGCGGAUGACUUGUGGCUGGGGGUGAAAGGCCAAUCAAACCGGGAGAUAGCUGGUUCUCCCCGAAAGCUAUUUAGGUAGCGCCUCGUGAAUUCAUCUCCGGGGGUAGAGCACUGUUUCGGCAAGGGGGUCAUCCCGACUUACCAACCCGAUGCAAACUGCGAAUACCGGAGAAUGUUAUCACGGGAGACACACGGCGGGUGCUAACGUCCGUCGUGAAGAGGGAAACAACC
rnacentral:rRNA from 1 species